rnacentral:rRNA from 1 species
ACUCCUACGGGAGGCAGCAGUGGGGAAUAUUGGACAAUGGGCGCAAGCCUGAUCCAGCCAUGCCGCGUGAGUGAUGAAGGCCCUAGGGUUGUAAAGCUCUUUCACCGGUGAAGAUAAUGACGGUAACCGGAGAAGAAGCCCCGGCUAACUUCGUGCCAGCAGCCGCGGUAAUACGAAGGGGGCUAGCGUUGUUCGGAUUUACUGGGCGUAAAGCGCACGUAGGCGGACUAUUAAGUCAGGGGUGAAAUCCCGGGGCUCAACCCCGGAACUGCCUUUGAUACUGGUAGUCUUGAGUUCGAGAGAGGUGAGUGGAAUUCCGAGUGUAGAGGUGAAAUUCGUAGAUAUUCGGAGGAACACCAGUGGCGAAGGCGGCUCACUGGCUCGAUACUGACGCUGAGGUGCGAAAGCGUGGGGAGCAAACAGGACUAGAUACCCGAGUAGUCCCA